rnacentral:rRNA from 1 species
UACGGGGGGGGGUAAGCGUUGUUCGGAAUUACUGGGCGUAAAGGGCUCGUAGGCGGCCAACUAAGUCAUACGUGAAAUCCCUCAGCUUAACUGGGGAACUGCGUGUGAUACUGGAUGGCUUGGAUUUGGGAGAGGGAUGCGGAAUUCCUGGUGUAGCGGUGAAAUGCGCAGAUAUCAGGAAGAACACCCGUGGCGAAGGCGGCUCUCUGGGACGGUACUGACGCUGAGACGCGAAAGCGUGGGGAGCGAACAGG